GAGCCGAACUGGGAGAGGUUUAUUUAUGGGUCACUUAUGGGUCAACGAAAUCACAUGCCACAGACUGCUUUCCUGCAAAUUGGUUGGAAACCAGAGUGGGUAAGCACCGGUGGCCGAGUAGGCAGUUGAUUCAGGAGGCAGAGGGAGGGUCCCAGAGAGCCUCAGACAGGGCUCUACAGAAAGCACCCUGGCAGUUGGUUGCCAUCUGGAGGGCACUCAAAGGAGAGCAGGGAGGAGGGAAUGCAGACAGAAUGUUCUUUGGCCCACUUGACUCGGCUUAUCAGGGUGGCCAGGGGUUAACAGUGCUGGCUGUCUACGCGGCUCCCACUCACUUCACUCUGACUUUCUAGAUUCCUCCCUGUCUCCCAGGUGUUUUCCAAUCGCCCUGGUCUCUCAACUGGCAUUCUCUUUCAUAACUCUCGUACAGUUUCUCCAACCUGCACUAGCCUGCAUCAAAUUAGCAUUUUUCCAGUCUCUACUUCCCUAUUCUCUUUGCUCUUCCUACCCCUGGUAACCAACUCUCAGCUGUUGUGCAGCUGCGACCCAAGCCAUCGUGAAAUAACUCGUUGAUCUUUGUUGUCCACCCAUGAUGUGAAGGGCUCUGUGACGGACACCACAGAGGAUGGACAGACAUGUCUGUCACCUCCACUCAACAAGGACCUUAUCUUCUGUACCAGCCCAGCGCCUGACUUUUAGAAGAUGCUCGCUAUUUGCCGAGUGAAUGAAUAAAUGAACAAAGACAGAGGUGGGCAGAGAGGUGCAGCAACUUCUUCCAGUUGUAACAUCAUUCAGAAAAAAAUAAUUUUCAGAAAAUGAAUUCUCCAGGUUUCCAGCUUCCAGGAGAACCUGAGAAGCCACAGGUGGGAGACGGCUGCGUUUCCAUCGCCCGGGUCCCUGGAAGAGUAUGUGCAGCAGAGCUUCUACCCCCUCCCUCCACCAGAGAUCUACUGGAUACCCAAAUACUGACUCCAACAUGAUUCUGUGUGUCUGUGAGGAUAUGUCUGCAAGGGAGUACCAUGGGACUGAGUAAACGAGAUUGCCUUCACUCAUGGGCUUGGGCUUUACCCAAUCAUCUGAAGACCUGAGCAGAACACAAAGGUCAAGUAUGAGGGAGCUUCCACCUGCCUUUUAGCUGCCAUGUCGGCCUUCUCCUGCCUGGGAUUGGAACUUACACCACCAGUUUUCUCGGUCCUCAGGAUUUCAGAUGUGGAGUAGAACUGACAACAUCGGCUCCCACAGCCCUCAGAUGGAAUGGAGCCACACCCUUAGCUCUCCUAGGUCUCCAGCUUGCCUAUUGCAGAUCUUGAAACUUAUCGGUCCCCCUAUAUGUAAUCCUAUUCCUCACAAUAAAUCACUUUCCAUUUAUGUACAUUUUAUUUGUUUUGCAUUUUAUACUUGGUCCUCAAUAUUCAUGGGUUCCACAUUUAUGAAUUUAACCACGCAUGCAGUGAAAAUAUUUGGAGAGAAAUUGUACCCAUAUUGAACAUGCACAAACAUUUUUCACUUGUCAUUAUUCCCUAAAUGAUAUAGUCUAAUAACUAUUUACAUAGUAUUCACAUUGCAUUAUUAUUAUAACUAAUCUAUGCAUAGGUUAUAUUGUACAUACUACACCAUUUUAUAUUAGAGACUUGAGUAUCCAUGGAUUUUGAUAUCCGUGAGGGGUUCUGGAACCAAUCUCUGUGGAUUUUAAUGGACGACUGGAUGCACGCAAGGGUACUUCAAAAGGUUU